AUUCCGUCGCAUGAAAUUUGUUGAUGUGGCGAUUCGUGCUAAUAGUGACGAGCGUGUGGCAUCAAUUACAGAGGUAUUCGUCACCAACGUGACGUACUCUGUCGAAAAAUCACUGCCGAUAGAAAAAUCGCGACGGCAGUCGCGAUAACGCUGCAUCGGAUCUCCGACACGCGAGACAUAUUGACACAAAUCUGAAACGUAGUCCGGGGAUGAAAGAUCGGUUUUCUGUAAAUUUUCUGUUCAUCUAAGGACAUAUUCGUGCAACAUGGCGACCGUGAAUAGGCACAGGAACAGGUUGUGAUAAAACAAGCAAAUUACACCAUACAUUUGAUUAAUAACUAAAAGUAAAGGCACAUAUUAAAUAUCACACAACAGAAAUAUCUGAAAGUUAAGCCUUAAGAACAUAUAUCUUGCAGUUAUUUAUGUAAAAUAUUAAUAUAACUUGAUUAAUUAAGAAAAUCAAUAACCAUAGUAGAUUAAAACAUAUAAAUUAUUUGUUUAUGCAAAUUCCAUAAAGUUUUCUUUAACAAAUUGCUGCUGUGAAAGUAUUGCUUAUUAUAGUCAUGAAUUUACAUUAAAGUUUGUAACUAUAGUGUUUGUUUUCUAUAGCUUUGUAUAUUGUAUAUGCAUAUAUAUUUAUAAAACUACACAAAAAAAAUCGACACUAAGUAAUGACUGUAUUGUCUCAUUGCUUUUGAAUUUGUAAUUUUAUUAUAUAGGUUCUUGCAUAAUUAUAAAAUUAUUAUA
rnacentral:lncRNA from 1 species